rnacentral:rRNA from 1 species
AGAGUUUGAUCCUGGCUCAGAACGAACGCUGGCGGCAGGCCUAAUACAUGCAAGUCGAGCGCACCCUUGUGGUGAGCGGCGGACGGGUUAGUAACGCGUGGGAACGUGCCCUUCUCUAAGGAAUAGCCUCUGGAAACGGAGAGUAAUACCUUAUACGCCCUUCGGGGGAAAGAUUUAUCGGAGAAGGAUCGGCCCGCGUUAGAUUAGAUAGUUGGUGGGGUAACGGCCUACCAAGUCUACGAUCUAUAGCUGGUUUUAGAGGAUGAUCAGCAACACUGGGACUGAGACACGGCCCAGACUCCUACGGGAGGCAGCAGUAGGGAAUCUUGGACAAUGGGGGCAACCCUGAUCCAGCCAUGCCGCGUGAGUGAAGAAGGCCUUAGGGUCGUAAAGCUCUUUCGCCUGUGAUGAUAAUGACAGUAGCAGGUAAAGAAACCCCGGCUAACUCCGUGCCAGCAGCCGCGGUAAUACGGAGGGGGUUAGCGUUGUUCGGAAUUACUGGGCGUAAAGCGCGCGUAGGCGGAUUGGAAAGUUAGAGGUGAAAUCCCGGGGCUCAACCCCGGAACUGCCUUUAAAACUCCCAGUCUUGAGUUCGAGAGAGGUGAGUGGAAUUCCAAGUGUAGAGGUGAAAUUCGUAGAUAUUUGGAGGAACACCAGUGGCGAAGGCGGCUCACUGGCUCGAUACUGACGCUGAG